UACGGGGGGGGCAAGCGUUGUUCGGAAUUACUGGGCGUAAAGGGCUCGUAGGUGGCCAACUAAGUCAGACGUGAAAUCCCUCGGCUUAACCGGGGAACUGCGUCUGAUACUGGAUGGCUUGAGUUUGGGAGAGGGACGCGGAAUUCCAGGUGUAGCGGUGAAAUGCGUAGAUAUCUGGAGGAACACCGGUGGCGAAGGCGGCGUCCUGGACCAACACUGACACUGACGAGCGAAAGCCCGGGGAGCAAACGGG
rnacentral:rRNA from 1 species